rnacentral:lncRNA from 1 species
GGAGCAGGACGAAGGGGGAGGGUCUCGAGGCCGAGUCCUGUUCUUCUGAGGGACGGACCCCAGCUGGGGUGGAAAAGCAGUACCAGAGAGCCUCCGAGGCGCGCGGUGCCAACCAUGGAGCGGGCCGGCCCCAGCUUCGGGCAGCAGCGACAGCAGCAGCAGCCCCAGCAGCAGAAGCAGCAGCAGAGGGAUCAGGACUCGGUCGAAGCAUGGCUGGACGAUCACUGGGACUUUACCUUCUCAUACUUUGUUAGAAAAGCCACCAGGUAAGAAGAGGACCCA